GAUGAACGCUGGCGGCGUGCCUAAUACAUGCAAGUCGAGCGAACGGACGAGAAGCUUGCUUUUCUGAUGUUAGCGGCGGACGGGUGAGUAACACGUGGAUAACCUACCUAUAAGACUGGGAUAACUUCGGGAAACCGGAGCUAAUACCGGAUAAUAUUUUGAACCGCAUGGUUCAAAAGUGAAAGACGGUCCUGCUGUCACUUAUAGAUGGAUCCGCGCUGCAUUAGCUAGUUGGUAAGGUAACGGCUUACCAAGGCAACGAUGUAUAGCCGACCUGAGAGGGUGAUCGGCCACACUGGAACUGAGACACGGUCCAGACUCCUACGGGAGGCAGCAGUAGGGAAUCUUCCGCAAUGGGCGAAAGCCUGACGGAGCAACGCCGCGUGAGUGAUGAAGGUCUUCGGAUCGUAAAACUCUGUUAUUAGGGAAGAACAUAUGUGUAAGUAACUGUGCACAUCUUGACGGUACCUAAUCAGAAAGCCACGGCUAACUACGUG
rnacentral:rRNA from 1 species